AUUCAUGAUUUCGGAAUCAUAACGCGUUACGAUCCGAUGGAAACCAAUCAGGUUGCUAGAUUUCGGAUCGUAACGCGUUAUGAUUCUGAAAUCAUGAAU
rnacentral:pre_miRNA from 14 species